rnacentral:RNase_P_RNA from 1 species
GAAGUCGGCCAGACCGCCGCUGGCACAAGGCCCGAAAGGGCGUGCUGGAGGAAGGUCCGGACUGCACAGGGCGGCGCAGGAGCUAACGACUCUCCACCGUGAGGUGAGGAUCAGAGCAACAGAGACGAGUCUGUCCGGGGCUUUCGCCCCGGACAGGGUGAAACGGGCAAUCUCUGCGCGCAGCAACACCAAGUAGGCACACGACGAUGCGGCCCGCGGAGUGUGCGGGUAGGUGGCACCGAGCCGUGGUGGCGACACCCGGCCCAGAUGAAUGGCGGUCACGGCGCGUCCUUCCCCCGAAGGCACGCCGCACAGAAUCCGGCCUAUCGGCCGACUUCACCU